GCCUGGGUGGCUCAGUUGGUUGAGUGUCUGACUUUGGCUCAGGUCAUGAUUUCGUGGUUCAUGGGUUCGAGCCCCACAUCAGGCU
rnacentral:tRNA from 1 species